rnacentral:lncRNA from 1 species
UCCAACCCAAACCCUUCCGUGAACCCUCUGCAGACACGGCACCCUGUGUCAAGGAGGUUCACUGUUAGUCAGGUGGUAUUUGAGCAAUAACUUCCUCUUUCCUUCCUUACUUGACCUUUCCUAACUUACUCCACCAUCCUCUGGUUUCCCACUGGAAAAGUUUCUGUAGGAGAUCUCGGUUCUGUGUUAAAUGUGUGCUGGUGCCCUUGUAGUGGAGGACAACAGUGGGGCACCUAAGCAGAGGGUUUUCCUGCAGUGGUUGUGGCUGCUCAGAUUAAAAAGCAGACAAGUUUUUGUCUUUCUCUUUUCUCUAGGAGAUAAUGACUUCUUAACCUCUCUUCCUCUCUCUGACACCCCCUCUACUCCACAGUGUUAUCAACACAAUGCUGGUGACAUGUGCUGUUUGCUGCUACCUGUUAAAUAAUGUCCCACUCUUCUAAAAUCUUUGAAGCUUAGGGUUUGUUGUCUGUAUUGUUUGAAGAAGAACAGUUUCCUUGAAGUAGAGGCCACGUGGCAUCUGCAGCAUCCUCUGGAUUAUGAUGUGGAAUGUAUUUGUUGUAGAAUUUCUCAACUUUUGGCUGAAUGCUGUGAACUUCUCAAAUGUACAGUGAUAUUUCCCUUGUAACUUUAGUGGGUUUUGUACCUAAACAGACCCAUUACAAAUCAUUAUCAUGUUUUAUAAUCUGUUCUUGCAUGUCCAGUGAGGGGGUUCAUUGGUAAUUUUGUAGGUUCCUACUUGUUUUCUAAAUCCCUUUGGCUUUCUCCAGUUAUAUCUUGGAAAAAGAGAAGCAGCCAAAAAUUAGGAUGUUUUAAGACUUCAGUAGUUGUACCCAACCACAUAAAUGACAUUUGUAGUGUCUGCUUGCCAGAAUGCAACAAAAAGCCAAUUUUUCUUCUCAUGUUCCAGGAUAGAACUUGCCUCAUCACGCAGUCUUUAUUUUUUUUUAAUUUAUUCCAUAUAAAACUGUAGAACAGCCCUUGUUGGAAAGGACCUUGAAAGAUCAUCUGGUCCAACCUUUCUUUCCUCAAACAUAUGGAAGUUUGUUGUUCUUGUGUCCUCUUCCUUUUGGGGGAGAGGAGGCAUUGAAAACAUUUCAGACCUUAAUUUUUGGUGACUAAAGAAAGACACUGAUUUUUCAUAUCAGUCUUGAAGGAAGCCCAAAGAAUGGUUUCUGAGGAUUCUUUGUUAGAUAAUUCUUGUUGUCCCAGGUAUGGUCUUCUGUAUUUGUGUGUCCUUAGCAGGUGGCUGGUGCUAUUAUCUACUUCUUUGUAGAGUUUAGAACUCUGCUGGAUCUACUUUCAUGCUCUUUGAUUUAUCUUUGCCGUUGAAAAUAGGAAAAAAACAAUUUCCUGUCUUCAUUAAACACCACUUGAUUGUCAAAUUGAUUUUCAACAAACAGAAUUUGUCCUAACAAAAUUUCAAG